AUUGAACGCUGGCGGCAGGCCUAACACAUGCAAGUCGAGCGGAGUAGCAAUACUCAGCGGCGGACGGGUGAGGAAUACAUAGGAACUUGCCUUUAGGUGGGGGAUAGCUUGGGGAAACUCAAGGUAAUACCGCAUGAUCUCGCAAGAGCAAAGGGGCGCAAGUCUCGCCUUUAGAGAGGCCUAUGUCUGAUUAGCUAGUUGGCGGUGUAAUAGACCACCAAGGCGACGAUCAGUAACUGGUCUGAGAGGACGAUCAGUCACACCGGAACUGAGACACGGUCCGGACUCCUACGGGAGGCAGCAGUGGGGAAUAUUGGACAAUGGGCGAAAGCCUGAUCCAGCAAUUCCGCGUGUGUGAAGAAGGCCUUCGGGUUGUAAAGCACUUUAGUGAGGGAAGAAACAGCUUGGCCACACCAAGCCUUGACGGUACCUCAAGAAUAAGCACCGGCUAACUCUGUGCCAGCCGCCGCCGUAAAAC
rnacentral:rRNA from 1 species